AGAGUUUGAUUCUGGCUCAGGAUGAACGCUAGCUACAGGCUUAACACAUGCAAGUCGAGGGGCAGCAUGGAAGUUGCUUGCAACUUCUGAUGGCGACCGGCGCACGGGUGAGUAACGCGUAUCCAACCUUCCCCUUAGUAGGGCAUAGCCCGUAGAAAUGCGGAUUAAUACCCUAUGUUCUUCGAGGCGGUCAUCCAAUUUGAAGCAAAGAUUCAUCGCUAAGGGAUGGGGAUGCGUCCGAUUAGGUUGUUGGCGGGGUAACGGCCCACCAGCCAUCGAUCCGGUAGGGUUCUGAGAGGAAGGUCCCCCACAUUGGAACUGAGACACGGUCCAAACUCCUACGGGAGGCAGCAGUGAGGAAUAUUGGUCAAUGGGCGAGAGCCUGAACCAGCCAAGUAGCGUGCAGGAUGACGGCCCUAUUGGGUUGUAAACUGCUUUUAUCAGGGGAUAAAGUGGCCCACGUGUUGGGUUUUUGUAGGUACCUGAUGAAUAAGGACCGGCUAAUUCCGUGCCAGCAGCCGC
rnacentral:rRNA from 1 species